AAUUGAAUGGCUGAUAAAGCAAUAAAUUGUAAAUUUAUAUAUGUAAAUAAAGUUAAUGAUAUUA
rnacentral:tRNA from 1 species